rnacentral:tRNA from 1 species
GCGAGUGUGGUGAAGUGGUUAACACACCAGAUUGUGGCUCUGGCAUGCGUGGGUUCGAUCCCCAUCACUCGCC